GCCAGGCAUGGUGGUGUGUACCUGUAGUCCCAGCUAUUCGGGAGGCUGAGGCUGGAGGAUCUCUUGAGUCCAGGAGUUCUGGGCUGUAGUGCACUAUGCCCAUCAGGUGUCCAUACUAAGUUUGGCAUCAAUAUGGUGAACUCCCGGGAGUGGGGGACCACCAGGUUGCCUAAGGAGGGGUGAACCGGCUCAGGUCAGAAACAGAGCAGGUCAAAACUCCCAUGCUGAUCAGUAGUGGGAUGGCGCCUGUGAAUAGCCACUGCACUCCAGCCUGGGCAAUGUAGUGAGACACCGUCUCU
rnacentral:SRP_RNA from 1 species